UUGGCUCUCGCAUCGAUGAAGAACGCAGCGAAAUGCGAUAAGUAAUGUGAAUUGCAGAAUUCAGUGAAUCAUCGAAUCUUUGAACGCACCUUGCGCUCCUUGGUAUUCCGAGGAGCAUGCCUGUUUGAGUGUCAUUAAAUUCUCAACCUCACUAACUUUGUCAUGAAGUUUGUGUGUAGGCUUGGAGGUGGGGGGUUUGCAGGUCCACAACUGUGGUCUGCUCCUCUG
rnacentral:rRNA from 1 species